UUGGGGAUUUCAGAGCUUUAUCUUGAUGCUCUUUUGUGUGAUUUGCCUGUGGGUUUAAAGCCCAGUGUACUGUAUACGAACAUACAGAUUACUGACUCCUGUAAGAUGAUUACUCUGUGUGUGUCAGUGAUGGAGCUGUGUUAGAAAGGAGGCAUAGAAACACAAACAUAUAUGUGAUAUAACUCCAAUCAUAUUACAGACAUUAUGUGCCCAACAGUAAAACAUGAUCAUCAUGUGCUAGGACGCAGUAACAGGUUUAAACCCUGUCUGGUCUGUGACUACAAUCUAGCUCAGUCAGGGAGAGAGAAAUGAAGCAGGUGUGUUUGCUUUCACUUAAAACUUAAACUUAAUAAUGAGGUCAACUCAUUUGACAAGCUUUUAGUCAUAUUUGAGUCUUUUCAGUUGAAACUUUUUCACUUUCAGGAAGUUUCUAAAGAUUUUUCUCCUAAUUGUAAAAAUCUGAGAUGAAAGCAAGAAAACCUGCUGUAGACUACUACAAACUGUUAAGUGAUAUAUUCUAUCCUGAUUAUAAAACACAAGGGGGAGGUCUGUCAGAGGGAAAAUUUAUUGUAACCAUUAUCAUAACCAAGUUAUACCAUUAAAGGAGUAUGUCCAACGAGAAGUUGUCAUUAUAGUUAAUAAGCUAACAUUGGUUGGAGAGGAUGGCCACAGGCAAAGUUCUGCCACCGUUUGACGAGAAGUAGUCAUACAAAAGCUGGUAAAAUGAGGUCAAAAUUUAAAGCUAGUCACAGACUUGGACAAGAAGAAGCAGGUGUUAGCAGUAGCACUGUUCUUAAUGGAACAUGUGAGGGACAGCAUGCUGGAAAAAGCAGUGGAGGACUUAAACAAGGAUGAUGGAAUGACUAAACUGCACUCUUACAAUGGUUGGGUUAAAAACAUUCCGACUUGGGUAGUUUUUCAACCCAGUGCUGGUAAAUAUUGGACAGAACACAUGCUAGGUUAAUUUUACCCAACUAAUUGGGUUGCUUCACUUAACCCAACAAUUGGGUUGUUUAUAUAACUCAAUUGGGUUGUUCAUGUAACCCAACUAAGGGUUUACAAUAACUACUCUGCUGGGUUCUUUAAACCCAGCAUGUUGCUUUAAAUUACAUUAGAGCAUCAGAUUUCAUAUAGCACUUUAUCAGAGACCUUCAAAGCACUUUACAUUGAAGACAUCAUUUAUUCGCUCACACAGUCACACCUUGGUCGUGUUAAACUGCCUUAGUAGUCACAGCUGCCCUGGGGCAGACUGACGGAAAUGUGAUUGCCAGUUUGCACCUACGGCCUCUCUAACCACCACCACCACACUCACAAUUAUACAGUAGUGGAGGACACACUGGGAGCAGUCACUUAACCUAGUGAUUGGGUUGAAAAAAACAUUUUUUUGUGUGUGUUAACGAAACUGGACUUUUAAAAAAGGAAAAAGGUUGCCAGUACGAGGCAUACAUGGUGUUAGACCAGAUAAUGAGGGAAAAUGGUGUUCAGAUGGUAGAUUUUAUUGUUGAAUUUGAACAGCCAUACAACAGAAUCAGUAAGUUUAAUAUGCAGCUUGCUCUUACCGUGUGUCCAAGCCUCUCAUUUGAUAGCAUGAAGACUGCCUUGAAGAGAAUCUUUGGUGACAGCACACCACAAGAGACCGCCUGUGAACAUUUUAGCGGAGGUAAUGACUCUGCCUAUUACACCAGGAAUACUGGUAGGAGAGAACCUAAAGUCCUGCAAAAGACCGUGCAGGGCACAAAUCCACUUGACAGGUAUGGGAAACACAACUGAUUUGCAGUCUGUCAGAGUACUUACCAGUGGGUAAAAGACUGUCUAAAUAAGAAUGAACAUGCUAAAUUCACAGCAGAUGAACAAAAACAAAUAUUGUUGAAGAGUGUAACAUCACUUUUUUUUUGUCAAAAGAGUUUCUGUCUGACACAGAAAUCUUCAUGGUCGAAUCCUUGAGAUUAGCUGUAAUUGAUGCAGCUUAGAUAGAUAGAUAGAUAGAUAUUCUUUAUUGAUCCCAAACUGGGAAAUUCUCAUGUUACAGCAGCAAAAAAAUACAAAAUAAAAUUGAAUAUAAGAGGAAGUCUGUACAAUGCAGACUAAAAAUACUAAAAAUACUAAAUACACUGUGUGCACAAUUAUUAGGCAAGUGAGUAUUUUGAUCAUAUCAUUUUUAUGCAUAUUUUCCAACUCAAAGCUGUAUAAACUUGAAUGCUUAUUGGAUAUAAGCAUAUCAGGUAAUGUGUAUUUGUGUAAUGGUGGAGGCCGGGGCCUAAGGAGAUCAAAACCCUAAAUCAAGGUGUGCAUAAUUAUUAGGCAGCUUCUUUUCCUCAAGUAAAAUGGGCCAAAAAAGAGAUUUAAGUGACUCUGAAAAGUCAAAAAAUGUAAAAAGUCUUUCAGAGGGAUGCAGCACUCUUGAAAUUGCUUAGAUAUUUGGGCGUGAUCACAGAAUCAGCAAACAUUUUGAUGCAAAUAGUCAACAGGGUCGCAAGAAAUGUGUUAAGAAAAAAAGACGCAAAUUAACUGCCAAAGAUUUGAGAAGACUCAAACGUAAAGCUACCAGGAAUCGCUUAUCCUCCGGUGCUGUCAUAUUCCAGAACUGGAGUGCCCAGAAGUACAAGGUGUUCAGUGCUUAGAGACAUGGCCAAGGUAAGGAAGGCUGAAAUCUGACCACCACUGAACAAGACACACAGUCGAAACGUCAAGACUGGGCCAAGAAAUAUCUGAAGAGAGAUUUUUCAAAGGUUUUUAUGGACUGAUGGGAUGAGAGUGACUGUUGACGGACCAGAUGGAUGGACCCGUGGCUGGAUCAGUAAUGGGCACAGAGCUCCACUUCGACUCAGACACCAGCAAGGUGGAGGCGGGGUACUGGUAUGGGAUGGUAUUAUUAAAGAUGAGCUAGCUGGACCUUUUGGGUUAAAGAUGGACUUAAAAUCAACUCCCAAACCUACUGCCAGUUUUGAAAAGACACUUUCUUCAAGCAGUGGUACAGGCAAAAGUCUGCAUCUUUCAAGAAAACCAUGAUUUUUAUGCAGGACAAUGCUCCAUUGCAUGCAACAGAGUACUCCACUAUGUGGCUCGCCAGUAAAGGCCUUAAAAACGAAAGAAUAAUGACGUGGCCUCCUUCUUCACCUGACCCAAACCCUGUUGAGAACUUGUGAGCCCCUCUUACAGUUUUUCUCAGUUGCUUUGCUACAUUUCUCAGAUCAGAAUUGAAAUUCUCAAAACUACGUGUUCAAUCUUCACAUCACUGUGCCACUUGUGCACAUCAGAAAAGCAGUUUCUCAUUUCUUUGAACAACUUGCAAAUGCUUUGGUACAGCCAUGCAAAUGAUUAUGUACAAUUUUCUGCUGUUUUCUACAUUAUCAAUUGCUUAUGUCAUGUUGAUCAAAAUGUACUAUAAUGGGUCUCUGUUGAAUAGUCUCACCCCCCACAACAUUUAGGCAUUAGUUCAUCGCACAAGUCUUUACAUGCAAAAUGGUUGAACACGCUGUCAUAAUAUGUCAAGCAUAUUUCUAUACAUUUCCAUUAGACGUUUCUGAAUCUGUCCUGAAUUGGUAAAUUGCUCCCAGGUGAAUCUUGACUUUCUCUAACGGUGGGAAAUGUGUGAAGCAUUAGAUCAACCAAUGAUCAACCACUUUUCUGAAACAGCUCAAAGGUGCAUCUCAUGAACCAUCAACUGGCAAGUAUAUAUUGCCAGGGCACAACACAAUGUUACAAUGUCUGACAAUGGAAGGACAAGGAAAUGGACGGGGUCAACAGCCAGAGAGAAGAAGAGGAAGAGGAGUGAGGCUGCGUGGCGGAGGAGUUGGGAGGCAAAACAGAGGAAGAGGCAGAAGAGGCAGAGGACAAAUGCACGUUCCUGAUGAGAUAAGAGCUACACUUGUAGACCACGUUCUCAAUCAUGGGCUUACAAUGGCUGAGGCUGGCCGAAGGGUGCAGCCAAAUGUUGGGAGAACAACUGUGUCCUCAAUCAUUCAGACUUUUCGUUGACAGAACAGGUUUGUAAUCUAACAAUAGGCACUGUACUGUAAUACUGUAUACUUUCUGUAAUGCUUCAUACAAUAUUGCAGUAUUCGACUUUCAUUUUACAAUAUACAGUAAGUAUAGUAUAUACAGUGACAUUUUGGAUGAGUGACAUUUUGUGGAUAAGAAUUUGUUGCCCAACAGACAGGAACAUCAGGAGGUGUAGGAAGACUGUACUGUAAUUCCUACAGCACUGCAUUUCCAGUUUUCCCUAAGGAAAUUGUCCUAUGUUCACAUUUCUACUUUUGUUUUUUUGUUUUUUUUAUUGUGCUCUGCAGUGCUGUCUUUUUCUUUUCUGUAUCGCAAUGACAUGGUCUGUCAUCAAAUUACAGUCUCUUGCAAUCAAUGCAAUCAAUCUCCCACAUACACUGAGGUGUAACUUACAAUUUACAAUGAUUGUCAUCAAAACUUUAGCCAUAGUUUACAUCAGAACAUCCCUCCAGAGUACACUGUUAUAUUGACAACAUGACUAAGCAAUUUGACUGUCUUAUCCGUACACAAUGACACAAGGACUUGUCAUUCUGAUGGCACUGACAUGUUCAUUGACACAGAUAUUUACUUUUGAGAGAUGUACUAAGGAUUUUGAGCAAGAGACUGGCUUUUGCAGGUAAUCCAUGGUGUUUUGCUAUUUGUACAAAUUGUUUUGAGAAAAGAACUAACUGUUUUGCAAAUGUCGAGGAUGAUUCGAGAAAUGUACCAAAGCGACUGAGAAAAACUGUAAACGGGAAAUUUACAGUGAAGGAAGACAGUACACCUCUCUGAACAGUGUCUGGAACAGUGUCUGGAAGGCUUUGGUUACUGCAACACAAAAAGUUGAUCGUCAACAAGAAACUGAAAGACUCCAUGAAUGAAAGGCUUAUGACUGUUAAUGAAAAGAAGGGUGGCUAUAUUGGUCACUGAUUUUUUUUUUAAAUUUCAACAAUUUUUAUUUGUAAAUUGAGUUGUUUGUUUAUCAUUCUCACUUUAAUAAGUGAAAAUAAACAAGUGAGAUGGAAAAUUUUUCAUUUUUAAUUUAGUUGCAUAAUAAUUCUGCACACUAAUAGCUGCCCCCAAUAAUUGUGCACACAUAGAUAUUCGCCUAAGGAAGUCAAAAUCUCACUUUUACUCCCUUAAAUAUUAAGGUUUGAGGUUUAUUAACAUUUUGGAUUGACCGAGAGCACUGUAGUUGUUCAAAAAUAAAAUUUAUCCUCAAAAAUACAACUUGCCUAAUAAUUGUGCACACAGUGUAUAUACAAUAGAUACAGACUAAAUAUACUAAACAUCCUAAGAGGAAAAAAAAGGGGAGAAAAAAAAGCUUGUUCAAGAACUGUAUGGGGAGAAAAGUGGCUGGCUCAUUAUCUCAGUGCACUGAAACAGAAUGAAUUAGACAACAUUUAGGACAAAAAGAGUGCAGGGUCGUUCAGGUUUGGCGAUGGCAGAUGUGUUUAUUCGACAAAGAUAGUAACAAUCCCAGCCAUGAUUGGAAAGACUAAAAGCCUGAGCUACUAAAAACACAUGCAAACUUGAUAGCGCAUACAAAGCUGAUCCGCUAACCAGGUGCACCAAGGAUUGUGUCUGUCAAAUGGACAAAACAGCACGUGCCUUUCAAACACAAGCAUGUUUGAAAGGCACGCCUUUCAAGAGUGUGUCAACAUAUUUGGACUGUCAGAAAUAGAAAAUACGGCAUGGUUCAGAAUAGAUACAUGCCAUAUCUCCUAUUGAAACACUGCAUUUUUCUGCACCUGGAUCGUUUUAGAGCACCAUCGCAGUUAGUGGGUCUCCCAGAGUAGUUUUUCUGGUUUUUCAAGUGUUGAAUGCUGUGUCAGGAUGGGCAAGUAUAUCUGCUUCCCAUGCACUCGGGAAGCAGUAAAUGACACAAAACACGGCAGGUCUUGGGGUCCUGUCGAGUCUUAUAGACUGAGUGCUGGGGAGCUCUGAGUCUAAAAGCUUAUGAUUUAUUUUGUUUUUCUGGUAAAUGACGGUUUUCAAAAAUAAUUAGGCCAAACAAAAAACAAACAUGAAUCGGUUUGUCUUCUUGAUUUUAGAUUGUUUAAAUUUCUUUUUUCAUUUCAAAUAUAUUUUCUUGCAUCUGUAAAGCGCUUUGAAUUGCCUUGUGUGUAAAAGAUGCUGUACAACUUGCCUUGCCUUUUAUGCAGUUAAACGAGACAAUGGAUGUGACCGGGGACAGCAUUGGACCGGGCUAUGAUGGCAAAAAAGACUCAAUGCACAAUAUACACAGCUACAGUCAUUACCGGUUGGUGUUUGGGCAAAACCCAAAUCUGCCAUCAGCGUUCACUGAUAAGCCCCCUGCUCUAGAGAGCAGUUGGAUAUCCCAAAACAUCACUGCAUUACAUGCUGCAAGGAAAGCAUUUGCAGCGGCUGAAUGC
rnacentral:lncRNA from 1 species